rnacentral:tRNA from 1 species
GGAGAUAUAGCUCAGUGGUAGAUCAUGUGCUUAGCGUGUAUGAGGUCCUGGGUUCAAUCCCCAGUGCCUCCA